ensembl:lncRNA
AUGGACACCAAGGUGUCCCUGCAGCUCCAUGUGUCUCUAAUUGUCCUCCUGUCUUUCCUGCAGGAGAGGCGUGAAAGAGAACGGACUCACAACUCGCUCUUUUCGGGCUCCUUUAACCCCCCCCCCCCCCCCCCACACUCUUUGGUUUUCACACGUUCAUCGAAAACACCUCCGGUGCCUCAGGAUGCGGCUCCAGUGCGGGAGGGAGGUCUGUUGAGGCCGGGGGGGGGGUCUAUGCUCACAAUGACUGGGGGGCAGUGGGGUUGGGGAUGGGGGGGCACCAAAACACUGGGUUCCUGCUCGUUUCCUGCCUUUCUCCCUGGACGUGGUGAAGGAAACCCACUUCCCUGUGGUCUCUCUCUCUCUCUCUCUCUCUCUUUCCCCCACCCCCUCCUCUCGCUGUUUUGCACACUCCCUAGCCGGCGUGCCCACACACACAGACACACAGACACACACACACACACACGCGCACUCCCAACUCAAGCGCUCGUGCCAUCAGGCUCUCUGGAGGAACUCGUGCUCCCGCUCACUAGGUUCACCCGAGCGUACCGGUCUGGGGGGGUCGGCACGUGGCCCCCCCCGUUGGACAUGGAGAGGCUGGAGUCAUUCAGGAGGAAGGCAGCCGCCACCAACUUGGACUCGGAGCGCGAGAGAUCAGCCCACUUCCGAUCGUCAUGGCAACAGCAUGCGAACGUGUUCGGCUCGUGGAGCAGGCCGGAGUGCGUGCGGGAGCUGCAUGAGGAGGCGCGGCUCAACCUCCACCGCCUGCUGCAAGAAUUCGAGGAGCAGCUGUACGGGGACAAGGUGACAGGACAGACAUUCCGACCAACUGGACAGCCAUCCUCUCCGAGCUCAGAGGACACAGGCCAAAGCAGCAGCCGGAGACCCGACUUCGUCUUCCUGGUAACUUUACCCUGGGAUUUACGCUUCGGAAGAGGGCCUCUUUUUUGCCGCUUUCUUACUGCGGUUUAUAAUGUGCAUUGGUCACAAUUGAACAGAAUUAGAUUUACAAGGAUUUGGGUUUUAUGAACUUCAUUGGUCCUGUACGUGAGGUGAAGAGAACGUCAUAUUCCACCAGUGAACGUGCGCCGGCGUUUGGACGAGUCUUACCGAAUAGUUCCUGUUUUCGAAAAACAGACAUUUGGCAGGUGGGCGGGGAAGGUCUCCAAGGCCUUCGCUCAAAUCUCCAGAGUGCCUUUUACUGGAUUAUCAGCCGAAGUGUGAAACUUACGCAUGAAGCAUAUCGUAGUUUCAGAGGGUGCCGAGAAUUUAAAGCAGCUGAAUACAUUUAAAGCCGCAGUUUAAAUGACAAAAAUUGUUUAUUGUUCCUUAAUGACACUGAAAGCGGUUCACUGUGAUCUUUUAAUACCUUGAAAUAAUUCUUCACGAGCAAACAAACUGCAACAUAAACUAUGAGAGACGCACAGAUUUUUUCUGCCUACUUCUGUCUUCACAUUACUGCAUUUGUAUCCGUCCUCAAAUGUGUGCUGUGCUCACCGCAACGUGUGACAGGCGCGUGACGGCGGCACCGUACCCGUAGGGUUCCCGGCGUCCGACACGGGUGGCGGCAGUCCAGCCCGACCACACCUGCUGUCGCGCUCCUCGAGGGGACCCCCUGUGGCCGAGAAGCCCCGUUGGUACCUGAGAUGCCGCGCUCCCGCCCGCCUGCUGCCCGCUGAUGUGACAGGUUAGGUUUUUCCCGGAGUUCUCUUCUCUCCGCUGCAUUCUCCUCGAUGCAUGUGAUCCUGUGUUUUCCACUCUUUUUUCGUUUUCUCCUUGUUCUCUUCUCUCUGUUCAUGUUUCCUUUUGCCACCGCUCCCCUCUGCACGGUGCAGUACAUGAGGUUUACUGAUGCACUUAAACCACUGGCCACUUCCCAGGACCCAGGAAGUGUUAUUUUGCUUGAAACAGGUAGAAGUUGCUAUGGCAACCCCAGAUUUUCCUUUGCCUCUGAGUCUCAGAUAUGGAGAUGUAAACAAGAAGGGAACAGCGAGAGAAAAUAGUCUUGUCCUCACUCUACAUGCUCCGCUUCCCAACUCUUUUGCUCGUCUUCUUACAUGAGGCACAUACAGUGAAACAUGUUACGUUCUUCUGCAAAGUCAGCCAUUUGGUUUUCGUGAGUCAAUUCACUGUGUCCAAUGAGCAAAACGUGUUUACAUGUUAAAGUUAUAAAGAACAAUGGAGCAGUCUGAGGAUUUGCAUUAAAUUCAACUAAAUUCUAAAUCUUAUUAUUGCUAAUAAUUGGCGCAGGCUCUACGCUGCCUGGAGGAGUUUGUCCCCGCGGUCGUCCGGAUGCUAUAAGGCAGAGGAUAUUUUACACGUGAUGCUGGUGCUCAGCAGGGCACUCUUAGGCGCUGUGGUCUGGAGGAGCACUGGUCUGCAAAGAGAGGGGACAGUUGCACACAGUGGAAAUGCGGUACGAUUUCUGGACUGGCGCACCAUCAAAGCCAUGGCGGGAACCAGACGGGCACCUGCGUGGACUGGCUGUGUGCAGCGUGAGCUUCUCUUCCUCUUCAGACCACAAAGUGGAAAUCGCAUCGUAUGCGUAGUGACCACAAAACAAAAUGCACUCAAAUCUCAUAGCUGUGGAGCAGGGAAUUACGUUUCUGCAAACAAAUAUGAAAACAACGUUAUGUCUGUUUUCACUGUCCGUGAGAACGUGGACUGUACGAAAUGUACUGCGUUGUUCUUGUUGGAUCUGUUGAAUCUCUGCUCUUCGCACACCAAGGGAAUGAAAUUGUGUGUCCUUGUGGCCACUAAAGAGUGAGGCGGUCAAAUGUUUUGAGCAAAUAAAAAAAUUGUGUUUCAUCA